GAGUCCUGAGACAUGGGGGAAGUACCCGGGGUACUAUUGGAAGCAAAAAGAAAAUGGGAACAGUGUUUCAUGAAAUUCAAAUGACCUCGUAGGAUGGUUGCCUGCAAAUGUUUUCAGCAUGUUGCCCUAAGUUUCCCUGAGUCAGCACACAGGAUUGCAUCUCAGAAGACCUCAGGAUAUGGAAUGUUUGCGGAUAUAAACACAUCUUCUGCUGCAUGAAGCCCUGAAGUUACUCAAAAUUACCUGAUCGUUUUGUGAGUUUGAUGGCAUCUUCUAAUUUUGGGGACAUCUGUGCUUCAUGACUAAGAACUGAGACUCCCAGUGCCCCCUGGGUCUUGUCAUGGGCUCAUGGGCCGUGUGUCUGGCCUCCACUCAUCUGGUUGCCUCUUUAGCACUUUUACAAUUGCCCUCAGAGAUUGCAGAAAACUGGACUGGACAACUUGGAGCCCAAACACAGUUUCCAAGACCUAAAUCCCUGCCCCCUGUGGUGAUCCUAAGAGAUGCUGUGGAAUGCGAACUCUACCAACAAAGCCAAUCAGCUUUGUUCUGUGAAAGAGUUCUCUAACAACCACGAAUCAUUAGGCAUCAGAAGGAAAGGGCCAAUUUUCCUGCUGUAAAUCCAGCUUUUCAUGAAAAUAGACAUCCUUGAUGUCAUGGGUAGAAUUAAAUGACCUGAAUGCAACUUUUUAACAAAGGAAAUAGUGGCAAAGAGUUUUCACUGUCCUUUUUUUUUCCCUGGAGUAUA
rnacentral:lncRNA from 1 species